UCAUCUUUAUUUAAAUAUUCUCUAAUAAACUUUUAAAUCUGUUCUUAUCAGUUUAAUAUCUGAUAUGUCUUCUAUUUGAGGACUAUAUAUUAAAUUGAUUUUUGGAACAGGGAGAUGGAAUAGGAGCUUGCUCCAUCCACUCCAUGCAUUGACCUGGUAUUGCAGUGCUUCCAGGAAUAGUGCACCUCCC
rnacentral:snRNA from 1 species